rnacentral:rRNA from 1 species
GACGAACGCUGGCGGCGUGCCUAAUACAUGCAAGUCGAGCGGACGGAUGGGAGCUUGCUCCCAGACCGUCAGCGGCGGACGGGUGAGUAACACGUGGGCAACCUGCCUGUAAGACUGGGAUAACUCCGGGAAACCGGGGCUAAUACCGGAUAACUCUUUCCCUCACAUGAGGGAAAGCUGAAAGAUGGCAUCUCGCUAUCACUUACAGAUGGGCCCGCGGCGCAUUAGCUAGUUGGUGAGGUAACGGCUCACCAAGGCGACGAUGCGUAGCCGACCUGAGAGGGUGAUCGGCCACACUGGGACUGAGACACGGCCCAGACUCCUACGGGAGGCAGCAGUAGGGAAUCUUCCGCAAUGGACGAAAGUCUGACGGAGCAACGCCGCGUGAGUGAUAAAGGUUUUCGGAUCGUAAAACUCUGUUGUCAGGGAAGAACAAGUACCGGAGUAACUGCCGGUACCUUGACGGUACCUGACCAGAAAGCCACGGCUAACUACGUG